UACGUAGGGCGCGAGCGUUUGUCCGGAAUUAUUGGGCGGUAAAGAGCUCGGUAGGCGCCUGUUGCGUCCGCUCGUGGAAAAGCCCCGGGGCUUAACCCCGGGUCGUGCAGUGGAUACGGGCAGGCUAGAGGGUAGGUAGGGGAGAAUGGAAUUCCCGGUGUAGCGGUGAAAUGCGCAGAUAUCGGGAGGAACACCGGUGGCGAAGGCGGUUCUCUGGGCCGUUACCUGACGCUGAGGAGCGAAAGCGUGGGGAGCGAACAGGG
rnacentral:rRNA from 1 species